GUGCUCACUUCCGCAGCACAUAUACUAAAAUUGGACAGAUACAGAGAAGAUUAGCAUGGCCCCUGAACAAGGAUGACAGGCAAAUUCGUGAGGCAUUCCAUAUUAAA
rnacentral:snRNA from 1 species